ensembl:lncRNA
GGUACCCGCAUUACCUCUCACGGAAGAAAGUGUUACCGUUUGAAAAUUAUCUCUUUUCUUUAACACAACACCGACUAUCAGCGCAGUCAAAGGACGUUUCUAUCCUGAGAGGAGUGCGGGGGAGCUUUUCUCCUUUUUUAAUCAAUGACUACCUUAUACAGCUUCGGAAAUCUGGACAAAGAAGACGCUGAGAAGAGGCCUGGUUCCGUGUCUGAGGAUCUCUGAUCUCCAUAGGCCCCGGUGGUUGCCACGCACAUCCAGGUCCCAGAUAAUGGAGGCACUUGACAAGCUGUGUCCAGGUGAUGAAGUCAUCAUCUUUCUCAGUUUGGAUAAAGGCUGUGUAGGUGUGGCCCUCUGUGCCUGGCAGGAAAAGGGUCUUCACAAGGGUUCUUGCUGUGGUCGAGAACCUCGGCUUCAUUGAGCAGCCUGUGAACUUCCACUUCAUAAGCGUGCUUCUUCAGACUGUCCAUGUUCCUGAGCUGGACACCUGGAACUGUGUUGAAUUUGUGUUUCUGUGAGUAAUCCUCAUGGAAGCAGCUGUUCAUGCUGAGGCCAAUGAUGCCCAAGUGGUAGGAUCAGGACACAUAAGGGAUGUUGCACUCUGUACCUUGGCAUUGUUCCAGCAUCGGCAUCCACAUAUCCCAAGCCCAGAGCUUUUCCAGUGUGGACCACUGGGGCUCAAGCUUCUCCUUGUACAAGGAUUUCUGAGCACCCAGCCCAGCCUAGGGCAUGGUCUCCAUAUGGCACAGCAGUGCUGGG